AAGUCGAACGCACUCUCGUUUAGAUUGAAGGAGCUUGCUCCUGAUUGAUAAACAUUUGAGUGAGUGGCGGACGGGUGAGUAACACGUGGGUAACCUGCCCUAAAGUGGGGGAUAACAUUUGGAAACAGAUGCUAAUACCGCAUAAAACCUAACACCGCAUGGUGUAGGGUUGAAAGAUGGUUUCGGCUAUCACUUUAGGAUGGACCCGCGGUGCAUUAGUUAGUUGGUGAGGUAAAGGCUCACCAAGACCGUGAUGCAUAGCCGACCUGAGAGGGUAAUCGGCCACACUGGGACUGAGACACGGCCCAGACUCCUACGGGAGGCAGCAGUAGGGAAUCUUCCACAAUGGACGAAAGUCUGAUGGAGCAACGCCGCGUGAGUGAAGAAGGUUUUCGGAUCGUAAAACUCUGUUGUUGGAGAAGAAUGUAUCUGAUAGUAACUGAUCAGGUAGUGACGGUAUCCAACCAGAAAGCCACGGCUAACUACGUGCCAGCAGCCGCGGUAAUACGUAGGUGGCAAGCGUUGUCCGGAUUUAUUGGGCGUAAAGCGAGCGCAGGCGGUUUCUUAAGUCUGAUGUGAAAGCCUUCGGCUCAACCGAAGAAGUGCAUCGGAAACUGGGAAACUUGAGUGCAGAAGAGGACAGUGGAACUCCAUGUGUAGCGGUGAAAUGCGUAGAUAUAUGGAAGAACACCAGUGGCGAANGCGGCUGUCUGGUCUGUAACUGACGCUGANGCUCGAAAGCAUGGGUAGCAAACAGGAUUAGAUACCCUGGUAGUCCAUGCCGUAAACGAUGAGUGCUAGGUGUUGGAGGGUUUCCGCCCUUCAGUGCCGCAGCUAACGCAUUAAGCACUCCGCCUGGGGAGUACGACCGCAAGUGAAACUCAAGGAAUUGACGGGG
rnacentral:rRNA from 2 species